CGAGCGAACGGACGAGAAGCUUGCUUCUCCGAUGUUAGCGGCGGACGGGUGAGUAACACGUGGAUAACCUACCUAUAAGACUGGGAUAACUUCGGGAAACCGGAGCUAAUACCGGAUAAUAUUUUGAACCGCAUGGUUCAAAAGUGAAAGACGGUCUUGCUGUCACUUAUAGAUGGAUCCGCGCUGCAUUAGCUAGUUGGUAAGGUAACGGCUUACCAAGGCAACGAUGCAUAGCCGACCUGAGAGGGUGAUCGGCCACACUGGAACUGAGACACGGUCCAGACUCCUACGGGAGGCAGCAGUAGGGAAUCUUCCGCAAUGGGCGAAAGCCUGACGGAGCAACGCCGCGUGAGUGAUGAAGGUCUUCGGAUCGUAAAACUCUGUUAUUAGGGAAGAACAUAUGUGUAAGUAACUGUGCACAUCUUGACGGUACCUAAUCAGAAAGCCACGGCUAACUACGUGCCAGCAGCCGCGGUAAUACGUAGGUGGCAAGCGUUAUCCGGAAUUAUUGGGCGUAAAGCGCGCGUAGGCGGUUUUUUAAGUCUGAUGUGAAAGCCCACGGCUCAACCGUGGAGGGUCAUUGGAAACUGGAAAACUUGAGUGCAGAAGAGGAAAGUGGAAUUCCAUGUGUAGCGGUGAAAUGCGCAGAGAUAUGGAGGAACACCAGUGGCGAAGGCGACUUUCUGGUCUGUAACUGACGCUGAUGUGGUGAAAGCGUGGGGAUCAAACAGGAUUAGAUACCCUGGUAGUCCACGCCG
rnacentral:rRNA from 1 species